GACGAACGCUGGCGGCGUGCCUAAUACAUGCAAGUAGAACGCACAGUUUAUACCGUAGCUUGCUACACCAUAGGCUGUGAGUUGCGAACGGGUGAGUAACGCGUAGGUAACCUGCCUGGUAGCGGGGGAUAACUAUUGGAAACGAUAGCUAAUACCGCAUAAUAUUAAUUAUUGCAUGAUAAUUAAUUGAAAGGUGCAAUUGCACCACUACCAGAUGGACCUGCGUUGUAUUAGCUAGUAGGUGAGGUAACGGCUCACCUAGGCGACGAUACAUAGCCGACCUGAGAGGGUGAUCGGCCACACUGGGACUGAGACACGGCCCAGACUCCUACGGGAGGCAGCAGUAGGGAAUCUUCGGCAAUGGACGAAAGUCUGACCGAGCAACGCCGCGUGAGUGAAGAAGGUUUUCGGAUCGUAAAGCCCUGUUGUAAGAGAAGAACGGGUGUGAGAGUGGAAAGUUCACACUGUGACGGUAGCUUACCAGAAAGGGACGGCUAACUACGUG
rnacentral:rRNA from 1 species